rnacentral:tRNA from 1 species
GGUGCCCAUGGCCGAGGCGCCGCGGCCCAGCGCGUCCUUGGCGUUGGCGGAGAGUGAGCCGAAGCUCAUUCCGGCGAUCGUCACCGGGGUCUUC